CCUACGGGAGGCAGCAGUGAGGAAUAUUGGUCAAUGGGCGGGAGCCUGAACCAGCCAAGCCGCGUGAGGGAAGAAGGUACAGCGUAUCGUAAACCUCUUUUGUCAGGGAACAAAGGCGGGGACUAGUCCCCGGAUGAGGGUACCUGAAGAAAAAGCAUCGGCUAACUCCGUGCCAGCAGCCGCGGUAAUACGGAGGAUGCGAGCGUUAUCCGGAUUUAUUGGGUUUAAAGGGUGCGCAGGGGGCCUGUUAAGUCAGCGGGAAAAGCCCGGGGCUCAACCCCGGCGAGCCGUUGAAACUGGCGGGCUGGAGUAGGGGAGAGGUACGCGGAAUGCGCGGUGUAGCGGUGAAAUGCUUAGAUAUCACGAAGAACCCCGAUUGCGAAGGCAGCGUACCGGCUCCACACUGACGCUGAGGCACGAAAGCGUGGGUAUCGAACAGGAUUAGAUACCCCAGUAGUC
rnacentral:rRNA from 1 species